ACGUUGAAUCACCAGUUCUGGUCAGAUCACCGAAGUUAAGCACCAUCGAGCCUGGUCAGUACUUAGAUGGAUGACCGUCUGGGAAUAAAAGGUGCUGUA